AUUGAACGCUGGCGGAAGGCCUAACACAUGCAAGUCGAGCGAGCGGCGGACGGGUGAGUAAUGUAUGGGGACUGCCCGAUAGAGGGGGAUAACUACUGGCAACGGUGGCUAAUACCGCAUAUUGUCGGAUAACCCAUAUGGGAUUAACUAGUAGGUAAGGUCAUGGCUUACCUAGGCGACGAUCCCUAGCUGGUCUGAGAGGAUGAUCAGCCCCAGUGUAACUGAGACACGGCCCAGACUCCUACGGAGCCAGCAGUUGGGAAGAUUGCACAAGGGGCGCAAGCCUGAUGCAUCCAUGCCGCGUGUAUGAAGAAGGCCCUAGGGUUGUAAAGUACUUUCAGUCGGGAGGCGUUACCGACAGAAGAAGCACCGGCUAACUCCGUGCCAGCAGCCGCGGUAAUAC
rnacentral:rRNA from 1 species